CCCUUAGAUGUUCUGGGCCGCACACGCGCUACACUGAAGGAGGCAGCGUGUACUCCUGGAUCGAAAGAUUUGGGUAACCCGCGAAUCUCCUUCGUGCUAGGGAUUGAGGUUUGCAAUUAUCCUUCAUGAACGAGGAAUUCCCAGUAAGUGCAAGUCAUAAGCUUGCGCUGACUACGUCCCUGCCCUUUGUACACACCGCCCGUCGCUACUACCGAUUGAAUGAUUUAGUGAGGACUUCGGACUGGGACCGAUGAGGCUUUCGGGCUGCGUCGGUAUUCUGGAAAGAUGUCCAAACUGUAUCAUUUAGAGGAAGUAAAAGUCGUAACA
rnacentral:rRNA from 1 species